GAUGAACGCUGGCGGCGUGCCUAAUACAUGCAAGUCGAGCGAAUGGAUUAAGAGCUUGCUCUUAUGAAGUUAGCGGCGGACGGGUGAGUAACACGUGGGUAACCUGCCCAUAAGACUGGGAUAACUCCGGGAAACCGGGGCUAAUACCGGAUAACAUUUUGAACCGCAUGGUUCGAAAUUGAAAGGCGGCUUCGGCUGUCACUUAUGGAUGGACCCGCGUCGCAUUAGCUAGUUGGUGAGGUAACGGCUCACCAAGGCAACGAUGCGUAGCCGGCCUGGGAGGGUGGUCGGCCACACAGGGACUGAGACACGGCCCAGACUCCUACGGGAGGCAGCAGUAGAGAAGCUUCCGCAAUGGACGAAAGUCUGACGGAGCAACGCCGCGUGAGUGAUGAAGGCUGUCGGGUCGUAAAACUCUGUUGUUAGGGAAGAACAAGUGCUAGUUGAAUAAGCUGGCACCUUGACGGUACCUAACCAGAAAGCCACGGCUAACUACGUGCCAGCAGCCGCCGUAA
rnacentral:rRNA from 1 species